UUCCCGCUGUGCUUCUGAUAAACCUCUAACUUCAUCAAUUCCGGAAAUGCCCCUACUGAAACCUCAUAUUCACAAGCCGUCUUCCUUCCCCUGUGCUCCCUCCGACACCCUGUUCGCAGAAAGAGCAAUCACAUACCUCAAACGCCAUCCCCACAACCUCACUUCUCUCUCUUCCUGUUUUACCCCUGAGGCAGCCUCCUUUUUGCUCCUCAAGUCCCAAUUCGACCAGCCCCUAACCCUAAAGUUCCUCAGCUGGGCUUUGAACCAUGGUUUCUUCACCUUCCAAUGCAAGUGACUCGCCCUCCACAUCCUCACUCUCUUCAAGCUCUACAAGAGCGCUCAACACCUCGCCGAGGACGUUGCCGUCAACACCAUCGACGACAGAGGUAAUUUGGUCUUUCAGUGCCUCAGUGACUCCCUGCAUAUCUACAAUUCGAGCUCGGCGGUUUUCGACUUGGUGGGGAAGUCUUACUCUCUCUUGAAUUUAAUUGAUGAAGCUCCGAAUAUUGUUAAUUUAGCCAAAGUUCAUAGAUUUAUGCCUGGUGUACUGUCAUAUAAUGCAAUUUUAGAUGCAAUAAGUAGGUCAAAAGAGUCUGUUCAAUUUGCUGAGGAGGUGUUUUCUGAGAUGAUUAGCAAUGGGGUAUCCCCGAAUGUGCAUUACUUACAAUAUUUUGAUUAGGGGUUUUAGCGGGGCGGGGAAUUUUAAAAUGGGGCUGUAGUUUUUUGGUGGAAUGGAAAGAAAUGGAUGUUUGCCGAAUGUGGUUACUUAUAAUACGCUGAUUGAUGCAUAUUGCAAAUUGAAUAGGAUUGAUCAGGCAUUUGAACUGUUGAGAUUGAUGGCGUUGAAGGGAUUGGAGCUGAAUUUGAUUUCAUAUAAUGUGGUAAUCAACAGGUUGUGUUGAGAAGGGAGGAUGAAUGAGACAAGUCAGGUUCUCUAGGAGAUGAAAAGAAAAGGUUUUGUUCCUGAUGAGGUGACUUGUAAAUUGUAAUACACUUAUUAGUGGGUAUUGCAAGGAAGGUAAUGUUCACCAAGCACUUGUUCUGCAAGAGGAGAUGUGGAGUGAUCGCUUGUCUCCCAAUGUAUUCAAUGUCAUUAAUGCUAUGUGUAAGCCUAAGAAUUUCAAUCGAGCAAUGGAGUUUUUCGAUCAGAUGCGUGUUAGAGGACUUCGUCCAAAUGAGAGGAUGUACACUACGUUGAUUGAUGGUUUCUACCAACAGGGGUUCUUAAAUGAUUGGGAAUGGAUUAUCACCUUUGAUUUUACAAUGCACUUUAUCAAUUGAUACUGCUUAUUGGGGAGGAUGGAAGAUGCCAUUCGAAUCCUACAAGUUAUGACAGGGAAAGGGUUGUCCCCUGAUGUACCAAGUUAUAGUACUAUUAUAACUGGGUUUUGUUGGCAUCAAGAAUUGGAGAGCGCAUUUCGAAUGAAGCUGGAGAUGAUGGAUAAGGGUGUAAUGAAGCUGGAGAUGAUGGAUAAGGGUGUAUCACUUGAUGCUGUUACCUAUUCAUCACUCAUUCAAGUUGUCUGUCAGCAAAGAAGACUGGGUGAAUCUUGUGAUCUAUUCCAAGAAAUGUUGAGUAUGGGUAUGCCUCCUGAUGAAUUUACAUACACAACAUUGAUCAAUGCUUACUGUGUGGAAGGGGAUUUAAAUAAGUCUCCUCAUUUGAAUGAUGAAAUGAUACAAAAAUGAUUCCUACCUGAUGUUGUUACCUACAGUGUGCUCAUUUAUGGACUUAACUAACAAGCUCAAACGAGGGAAGCAAGGAGGCUUCUGCUCAACUUGUUCUAUGAGGAGUCUGUCCCUGAUGAUGUCACAUAUAUUACGCUAAUAGAGAACUGCACUAAUGGUGAAUUUAAGAGUGCGGCUGCUUUAGUAAAGGGAUAAUGUAUGAAGGGUUUGAUGAAAGAAGCACACCUAGUUUUUGAGACAAUGAUUGAGAGGAAACACAAACGUAACGAAGCAGUUUAUCAUGUUAUUAUUCAUGGUCAUUGUAAGGGUGGAAAUGUUAUCAAGGCAUACAACCUGUACAAAGAAAUGUUGCAUUCUGGUUUUGUUCCGCAUACUGUGAUGGUUAUUGGGCUGGUUAAAGCACUUUUCACAGAGGGGAUGAACAAUGAAUUGAGUUAAGUCAUAGGGAACACACUGAGAAACUGUCAGCUUUCUGAUGCUGAAUGUGCAAAACUACUCGUUGCCAUCAACCAUAAAGAAGGAAUAUGGAUGAAGUUUUUAAUGUGCUUAAUGAUAGCCAAGGACGGCCUCCUUUCAAAUAGUGGAGUAAGAGCUUCUGCAGGGGGAUAACUAAUGGCAAGCAUUCUCUUAUUAAAAGGAGCAAAAAAUGAUGGCAAAAGUUCAAGCUGAUUGCAAUCUUUUUGGUUGACAGAGUAACUGAUGAAGCCGAAGUGCAUAAUCACCUUGAUUGUGAUUAUUGUCUGAUAAAAUACUUCAGUGUUAUGGUGGCUUGUGCAGAUAAGCCUUAUUACUCCAUGCCCAUGUUUUCUUACAAUCCAGCCAACCUUUUUAUGAAGAUUCUUCAUUUAUCAUGCAGUUACUUUCUUACAAGUUCAGGUAAUGUGUGUGUGUGUGUGCAUGUUUAAGGUUUUUUUCAUCAUGGAAGAGAAAGGGAAAUACAUUGGCCGUACAGAUUGUUGUUUUUGUAUACUAUGUGUACUCAUGACUCAUUAUUGGACUUUUCAGUUUCAGUUAAAAGAUGGUUGCAGUUUAAUCUAUUCUCGGAUACUGAGUCGUUCUUGAGAAGAUAAAAUAAGUUUCAUACCAAAGCACAAGCAAACAAGGACCUGAAGAAGCAUUAGGUCCUGUCUUCCUUGUAGUGUAACUGCAAAUAGUGUUUCUCUGCGCUGCCAUCUUCGCUUGCCGGUGUUUCUGGAAGUUGACAUCUUGUGUUGCCUUAAAGGUAUCUUGAGAAGCCAAGGAUGUGGAUCUCAAGCUGCAUCUGAUGAGAUUUGAAGAAUAAUAUACUGUCCUAAAUAUUGAUUUAUGGCGAUUAAAUCUUCAGAUUUUACAGAUGUAUAUAUGUCUGAUGAUCUGCUGUAUUUUGACAGCACAGUAUACAAAAUUGUAACCUGAUAUUUUAUUGUCAUCUUCAUUUGUAAGUUUAAUUGGGCAAAAUUAUUUGUGCA